rnacentral:rRNA from 1 species
GACGAACGCUGGCGGCGUGCUUAACACAUGCAAGUCGAACGGCAAGGCCCAGCUUGCUGGGUACUCGAGUGGCGAACGGGUGAGUAACACGUGGGUGAUCUGCCCUGUACUCUGGGAUAAGCCUGGGAAACUGGGUCUAAUACCGGAUAUGACCUUACAUCGCAUGGUGUUUGGUGGAAAGCUUUUGCGGUUCAGGAUGGGCCCUCGGCCUAUCCGCUUGUUGGUGGGGGAAUGGCCUACCAAGGCGACGACGGGUAACCGACAUUGGAGGGUGAUCGCGCACAAGGGUCCUAAGGCACGGCCCAGACGCCAACGGGAGGCAGCAGGGGGGAAUAUUGCACAAUGGGCGCAAGCCUGAUGCAGCGACCCCGCGUGUGGGAUGACGGUCUUCUGGGUGUAAACCUCUGUCGCCAGGGACGAAGCGUGAGUGACGGUACCUAGAGAAGAAGCACCGGCCAACUACGUG